GAUGAAGACAUCCCAUUUAAGACAGAGGGU
rnacentral:piRNA from 1 species